AUGUUCACUGUUAUAUUCAUGUGUCUGUGGCUUUCACUAGGUGACUCCAUGGCAGAUUCAAUAGAGCCACUUUUCAAUUAUAAAGCUGUAGAUGAAGGUGAUGAUGUUACUCUGUCCUGCAAAUACAAAUUCAGUGUUUCAGGAAUCAACUACCUGCAGUGGUACAGGCAAUAUCCAAAAUCUAAACCUGAGUUCCUGCUUUAUAUUUCUACAAAUGGAGAUCCAAGUCAAAACAUCCCCCCAAGAAUGUCUCCUAAAGUUCAUGGUGAUGAACAAGUGGAUCUGAUCAUCUCCUCUGCUGCUGUAUCAGACUCUGCUUUAUACUACUGUGUGCAGGUGUGGCACCCACCACCAAAUGUCCACAGAGACCGCAACAAUUCCGUAGAGGAGUGCCAUAACCCAACACGUUUAAACAAGCCUGUUCCCAAAGCAACUGGAGCCCAUCCCACGUGCAUUAGCAGUCUGUUUCCUUAA